UCUCCGUAGGUGAACCUGCGGAGGGAUCAUUACAGAGUUCUCGCCCUCGCGGGUAGAUCUCCCACCCACUGUUAUCGUUACUGUGUUGCUUUGGCGGGCCGCCGGGCCCCGCUCGGCCGCCGGCUCCGGCUGGCGCGCGCCCGCCAGAGGCCCGGCAAACUCUGAAUGUUAGUGUCGUCUGAGUACUAUAUAAUAGUUGAAACUUUCAACAACGGAUCUCUUGGUUCUG
rnacentral:misc_RNA from 1 species